ACCUUCUUAAUAUAAAUAAUAUGAAUGACUUCCAAUCAUUUUAUCUUGGUGAAAUUCCAAGAGAAAGUA
rnacentral:tRNA from 1 species